AAGGAGUCUAGUAAAUGAGCGAGUCUAAGGUAUCUUCCGAAUACCGCAGGCGAUGUGAAGGCAUUUGUCCGCAAGACCAGUCUUACGGGCGCGUGCCAACUUCAUAGCGAUGAUGGGGGCCCAAACAGCCUUCCGCAAUCGCGAGGUGGUCUCAUUCCCGUUCUCGAGAAGAGCCAUCCUUUUAGCUCACGUGCUAGUACCCGAAAGAUGGUGAACUAUGCUUGACGAGAGCUGAGUUAGGGGAAACCCUGAUGUAAGCUCGUCAUCGAUUCUGACGUGCAAAUCGAUCGUCUGAGUUACGUAUAGGGGCGAAAGACCAAUCGAACCAUCUAGUAGCUGGUUCCUUCCGAAGUUUCCCUCAGGAUAGCUCGUGUCGCUUUAGCUAGUAACAUGUGGUAAAGCUAAUGACUAGAGGUAUUGGGACCGAAACGGCCUCAACCUAUUCUCAAACUUUCAAUGUGUGUGAGAUCAAACGGCUUACGGUGACACUCGGUCAAACGAGUCUACGAAGCCGUGCGAACUCGAGGUGCUCGACGCCUCGCUAUAAUAACGCGGCACGCAGUGGGCCGAUUUUGGUAAGCAGAAACGGCGAUGUGGGAUGAACCAAAUACAAAGCUAAAGCGUCAAAGUCAACGCUCAUGG
rnacentral:rRNA from 1 species